rnacentral:rRNA from 1 species
AACGUGCCCAGUAGCGGGGGAUAACUACGCGAAAGCGUGGCUAAUACCGCAUACGCCCUUAGGGGGAAAGGCGGGGAUCCUUCGGGACCUGUCACUAUUGGAGCGGCCGAUAUCGGAUUAGCUAGUUGGUGGGGUAAUGGCCUACCAAGGCGACGAUCCGUAGCUGGUUUGAGAGGACGACCAGCCACACUGGGACUGAGACACGGCCCAGACUCCUACGGGAGGCAGCAGUGGGGAAUUUUGGACAAUGGGGGCAACCCUGAUCCAGCCAUCCCGCGUGUGCGAUGAAGGCCUUCGGGUUGUAAAGCACUUUUGGCAGGGAAGAAAUUGUUCUGGUUAAUAGCUGGAGCCGAUGACGGUACCUGCAGAAUAAGCACCGGCUAACUACGUGCCAGCAGCCGCGGUAAUACGUAGGGUGCGAGCGUUAAUCGGAAUUACUGGGCGUAAAGCGUGCGCAGGCGGUUCGGAAAGAGAGAUGUGAAAUCCCAGGGCUCAACCUUGGAACUGCAUUUUUAACUACCGGGCUAGAGUGUGUCAGAGGGGGGUGGAAUUCCGCGUGUAGCAGUGAAAUGCGUAGAGAUGCGGA